rnacentral:rRNA from 1 species
UGAUCCUGCCAGUAGUCAUACGCUCGUCUCAAAGAUUAAGCCAUGCAUGUGUAAGUAUAAAUAAUUCUACUUUGAAACUGCGAAUGGCUCAUUAUAUCAGUUAUAGUUUAUUAGAAAAAAUGUACUACUUGGAUAACCGUAGUAAUUCUAGGGCUAAUACAUGAGUAAAUCCUCGACUUUGAAGAGGUGUGUUUAUUAGUAUGAAAACCAUAUGCUUCGGCAUAAUAGUGAGUAAUAAUAACCUUUCAUAUCGUAUGUUGAAAUAACGAUAGUUCUUUCAAGUUUCUGCCCUAUCAGCUUUCGAUGGUAGUGCAUUGGACUACCAUGGCAGUAACGGGUAACGAAGAAUUUGGGUUCGAUUUCGGAGAGGGAGCCUGAGAGAUGGCUACCACAUCCAAGGAAGGCAGCAGGCGCGUAAAUUACCCAAUCCUGACAUAGGGAGGUAGUGACAAUAAAUCACAAUGCGGGACUUUUAGUUUUGCAAUUGGAUUGAGAACAAUGUAAAAGAGUUAUCGAUAAACAAUUGGAGGGCAAGUCUGGUGCCAGCAGCCGCGGUAAUUCCAGCUCCAAUA